CGUAUCACCACCGCGACCGCGGCCUCAGAUAAGAUUAUUUACCUUCCGUUUGUUGUUGUUAAUUAUUUUGUUCGGCACCUUCUGAUCAUUCCUCGUUUAAUUGUAUAGAAUAAUAUUAAAAAAGCAAUUAAGUGACACGUUUAUAAGACGUCCUACCCACCGCCCACAUGAAUAGACAAACGUCGCAAGUAACGGGCGGCGACCAGCUAACGAAGUAUUUCAAUAUUCAAUAGCUCCGUGACGAAACGGAUGGAUAUUUGUGACUUACUAAUAAAAGUUGUUACAGUCCCUUGCACAAAAAAAAAAAGGCGUAAAAUAAUCAAUUUAAACCUUAUGAUGAAAAGUUUUUGGGUUCUUUCAUUUUAUAAGCAACUAAUUAAAUUCUUGUAUUGCUACUUGAAUAUCAUAAACAGGAGUUAAUAUAUUAUAAUUAUUAGUGGCUACUAUGGAGAUGCUGAAGUUUGGAUAGAUUCCUCUUCUCUAAAUUAUGAAAGUAGUUUGCAUUUUAUAAUAUAACACAAUAUUUAAAUAUGUAUGACAUUACCUUCUGCAAUAAUAUCAUUCAACAAAGUUUCAUCAAACAUAAGCUCUCUAAUACUGGUGGAGUAUUAUUUGAAUUAUCUGCAGAUUUCUGAAGUUGUGUUAUAAUCAGUUAUCUUUCUAAUUUCAAUAUAUGAAUAAAAAAUAAAAGCGUACCACAGGUUGAGAAGUGCUGGUGUAAGCUGUAGGGCCCGAUGUGCAAAAUCCCAUAUAAUAGAAGUUACAUAGUUAUCACAUUGAUACGUCUGAAGUUACAAUUAAGUGCCUAUUUACUUCUCUGAAAUACAACAUGGAUGCCAAAUGCCAGGUUGAGUGAUGGUACAAAUGCGAUAUCAAAAUGUCUUUGUCAUCAAAAGAGCAUAGAAAUCAAUUGUUAUUUUGAUUUAUUAAUUCCAUAUAUAAAUACAGAACGAAAUUGGUGACUUUCUAAUAAAGCAUUUGCAGUCGCUUGGACUUAUACAACAAUAACUUAUCGUAGACAAU